UCCCUUAACGCUCCUGCCACGCCGCCUCCGCCCGUGCAAUGGCUCUGUAGCCGCGAUCUCGUCGUGUCCCCCGCCCCGUUUCCGCGCUCACCGCGACUUCACUCUCUGCUCACACCGACUCUUCAACUGAGGCCGCCGCCGCCGUUGCCUCCUCUCCUUUUCGCAGCCAUGGAGCCCUCCACCUUCGCCUUGGUGCCUGUCUUCACCCAGCUGAACAAUCUUCCACGCUGCCUCCCAGUUGUUGGUGCAGCCUCCAUUGCCAUCGCAGCCCUGCACCUGUGCCUCAGCCAUGUCACUCCUGGCGACCCUGGGACUGGAGCUGGACAGGGCCCUGCUCCCAGCUAGCGGGCUGGGCUGGCUCGUAGACUAUGGGAAACUCCCCCUGGCCCCUGCCCCCCUGGGCCCCUAUGAGGUCCUUGGGGGUGCCCUGGAGGGCGGGCUUCCAGGGGGGGGAGAGCCCCUGGCAGCCUCCUACCCUGGAUACCCUGGACUUGCUAGCUGUUUACUGCCGCAGUGAGGCUGGGCCAGGGGAUUCAGGCUUGACAACCCUGCCUGUCCCCCAGCAGCCUCCUCCUCUGGCCCCUCUGCCUUCACCCUCCCGACCAGCCCCCUAUCCUAGUCCUGCCAGCACCCGAGGGGACCG
rnacentral:lncRNA from 1 species